UGCAAGUCGAGGGGUAUUGGUAUUCGGACCAAGAGACCGGCGCACGGGUGCGUAACGCGUAUGCAAUCUACCUUUUACAGGGGAAUAGCCCAGAGAAAUUUGGAUUAAUGCCCCAUAGUAUAUAUCAUUCGCAUGUUUGAUAUAUUAAAGUUCCAACGGUAAAAGAUGAGCAUGCGUCCCAUUAGUUAGUUGGUAAGGUAACGGCUUACCAAGACAAUGAUGGGUAGGGGUCCUGAGAGGGAGAUCCCCCACACUGGUACUGAGACACGGACCAGACUCCUACGGGAGGCAGCAGUGAGGAAUAUUGGACAAUGGGCGCAAGCCUGAUCCAGCCAUGCCGCGUGCAGGAAGACGGUCCUAUGGAUUGUAAACUGCUUUUGUACGGGAAGAAACACUCCGACGUGCCGGAGCUUGACGGUACCGUAAGAAUAAGGAUCGGCUAACUCCGUGCCAGCAGCCGCGGUAAUACGGAGGAUCCAAGCGUUAUCCGGAAUCAUUGGGUUUAAAGGGUCCGUAGGCGGUUUAAUAAGUCAGUGGUGAAAUCUGGUCGCUCAACGAUCAAACGGCCAUUGAUACUGUUAGACUUGAAUUAUUAGGAAGUAACUAGAAUAUGUAGUGUAGCGGUGAAAUGCUUAGAUAUUACAUGGAAUACCAAUUGCGAAGGCAGGUUACUACUAAUGGAUUGACGCUGAUGGACGGAAGCGUGGGGAGCGAACAGGAUUAGAUACCCUGGUAGUCCA
rnacentral:rRNA from 1 species